UACGGAGGGGGCUAGCGUUGUUCGGAAUUACUGGGCGUAAAGCGCACGUAGGCGGCUUUGUAAGUUAGAGGUGAAAGCCCGGGGCUCAACUCCGGAAUUGCCUUUAAGACUGCAUCGCUAGAAUUGUGGAGAGGUAAGUGGAAUUCCGAGUGUAGAGGUGAAAUUCGUAGAUAUUCGGAAGAACACCAGUGGCGAAGGCGACUUACUGGACGAUUGUUGACGCUGAGGUGCGAAAGCGUGGGGAGCAAACAGG
rnacentral:rRNA from 1 species